rnacentral:rRNA from 1 species
UACGGAGGGUGCAAGCGUUAUCCGGAUUUAUUGGGUUUAAAGGGUCCGUAGGCGGCCCGAUCAGUCAGAGGUGAAAUCCCGCAGCUUAACUGUGGAACUGCCUUUGAUACUGUCGGGCUAGAAUUAGUUUGAAGUAGCUAGAAUACGUAGUGUAGCGGUGAAAUGCAUAGAUAUUACGUGGAAUACCAAUUGCGAAGGCAGGUUACUAAGUCUAUAUUGACGCUGAUGGACGAAAGCGUGGGGAGCGAAC